rnacentral:rRNA from 1 species
UACGGAGGGGGCUAGCGUUGUUCGGAAUUACUGGGCGUAAAGCGCGCGUAGGCGGAUCUGCAAGUCGGGGGUAAAAUCCCGAGGCUCAACCUCGGAACUGCCUUCGAUACUGCGGGUCUCGAGUCCGGGAGAGGUGAGUGGAAUUCCUAGUGUAGAGGUGAAAUUCGUAGAUAUUAGGAAGAACACCAGUGGCGAAGGCGGCUCACUGGCCCGGUACUGACGCUGAGGCGCGAAAGCGUGGGGAGCAAACAGG